UCUCCGCCUCUCCGCCCUCUCGACCUCUCUCUGCCUCUCGAUUCGAAUCAAACCCAGAAAAUCUCUGCCUCUCCUCCCUCUGCCUCUCGUUUCGAUUCAAACCCAGAAAUCUCCGCCUCUCCGCCCUCUCGACCUCUCUUUGCCUCUCGAUUCGAAUCAAACCCAGAAAAUCUCCGCUUUAUUUGAGCACUGCUCGUCAUUGAUGGCAAGUGAUGAACUGAUGAUGUAUAAGCACAGCAACUCAGCAAGGCAGCAAGCAAAUAUGAAGUGAUGAACUGAUGAUGAGAUCACUUUGAGUCCUUGAACACUUUGUUUUAUCCUAUUGCACCUAGUUAUUGUAUUUUGUAUCAUUUGAAAUUUUGAUUCAUUUGUGUGAAGUGUGAACUGUGAACUAUGAAUUAUUGACUUAAUAUUUGUAUGAACUAUGGAGUGAUGAAGGGGAUGAACUGAAGUGAAUAAGUGAUGAACUCAAGUAGUGAAGUUGAUGUAUGAGAGUUUUUAGCUUAUUUUUCAUUUCCAGGUUGGGCCUUUAAAUUGAUGU
rnacentral:lncRNA from 1 species